UUUCCGUAGGUGAACCUGCGGAAGGAUCAUUAUUGUAUAACCGAGGUGCGAGGGCCGUCGCUGACCCGAAAGGUCGUGCACGCCCGAGUGCCCUCACACACAUCCAUCUCACCCCUGUGUGCACCACCGCGUGGGUCCCCCUUUGGCUUGUUCGGAGGGGGGCUUACGUUUUCACACAAACUUUGUAUGCAGUGUAGAAUGUAUUUUUUGUUUUUGCGAUCACGCAAUCAAUACAACUUUCAACAACGGAUCUCUUGGCUCUC
rnacentral:misc_RNA from 1 species